rnacentral:rRNA from 1 species
UACGUAGGGUGCAAGCGUUGUCCGGAAUUAUUGGGCGUAAAGAGCUCGUAGGCGGUUUGUCGCGUCUGCUGUGAAAACUCGGAGCUUAACCCCGGGCCUGCAGUGGGUACGGGCAGACUAGAGUGCGGUAGGGGAGACUGGAAUUCCUGGUGUAGCGGUGAAAUGCGCAGAUAUCAGGAGGAACACCAGUGGCGAAAGCGGCUUCCUGGUCCGACACCGACGUUCAGGCACGAAAGCGUGGGGAGCAAACAGG